AAGGUCUGGCUAUGCGGGACUAGCAUCUAACGUUAGCUACUCCGCUGCGCUCUGGAGUAAUGUCCGGCUAUGCGAGACUAGCGUCUAGCUAGUUGGAUGCUGCG